rnacentral:rRNA from 1 species
GCCUGAAAACUACAAGCGUAAGCUUAAAACUCAAAGGGUCUGGCGGCACUUUAAACUAUCUAGAGGAGCCUGUCCUAUAAUCGAUAACCCCCGUUAAACCUCACCUUCUUUAGCAAUCAGUCUGUAUACCGCCGUCGUCAGCUUACCCCCUAAAGGUUGCACAGUAAGCAAAACUGGUUUUACCCAAAACGUCAGGUCGAGGUGCAGCUUACAAGAAGGGAAGAGAUGGGCUACAUUUCCUAGGAAAUACGAAUAAUACACUGAAACAUGUAUAUUGAAGGAGGAUUUAGCAGUAAGUAAAAAAUAGAGAGUUUUACUGAAAAAGGUCUUAAAGUGCGUAC